rnacentral:misc_RNA from 1 species
GAUGAAGAACGUAGCGAAAUGCGAUAAGUAAUGUGAAUUGCAGAAUUCAGUGAAUCAUCGAAUCUUUGAACGCACAUUGCGCCCGCCAGUAUUCUGGCGGGCAUGCCUGUUCGAGCGUCAUUUCAACCAUCAAGCCCCCGGCUUGUGUUGGGGACCUGCGGCUGCCGCAGGCCCUGAAAACCAGUGGCGGGCUCGCUAGUCACUCCGAGCGUAGUAAUGCAUCUCGCUCAGGGCGUGCUGCGGGUUCCGGCCGUUAAAAAGCCUUAUUUACCCAAGGUUGACCUCGGAUCAGGUAGGAAGACCCGCUGAACUUAAGCAUAUCAAUAAGCGGAGG